rnacentral:rRNA from 1 species
AUUGAACGCUGGCGGCAGGCCUAACACAUGCAAGUCGAACGGUAACAGGAAACAGCUUGCUGUUUCGCUGACGAGUGGCGGACGGGUGAGUAAUGUCUGGGAAACUGCCUGAUGGAGGGGGAUAACUACUGGAAACGGUAGCUAAUACCGCAUAACGUCGCAAGACCAAAGAGGGGGACCCUCGGGCCUCUUGCCAUCGGAUGUGCCCAGAUGGGAUUAGCUUGUUGGUGGGGUAACGGCUCACCAAGGCGACGAUCCCUAGCUGGUCUGAGAGGAUGACCAGCCACACUGGAACUGAGACACGGUCCAGACUCCUACGGGAGGCAGCAGUGGGGAAUAUUGCACAAUGGGCGCAAGCCUGAUGCAGCCAUGCCGCGUGUAUGAAGAAGGCCUUCGGGUUGUAAAGCACUUUCAGCGGGGAGGAAGGGAGUAAAGUUAAUACCUUUGCUCAUUGACGUUACCCGCAGAAGAAGCACCGGCUAACUCCGUG